rnacentral:rRNA from 1 species
AUGUGGAAUGAUGACCUGCAAGUUCAUGUUCAUAGUGCUAGCUUCCAUAUUAUCUUAGCUACUGAUGUACAUAGUACUAGUAAUCUGAAGUUUGGCUUAGUGUGUAUCUAUGGUGAUCCGUAUCAUCGUCAAACUUGUCAAAUCUGGAGUGAGAUGGCUGCUUUUGCGUAUAAUAACUCCAGUUUACCCAUGCUAUGUAUAGGGGAUAUGAAUGAGCUUUUGUAUGAUAUGGAUACAAACUCCCCUAAUAUAAAUCGCUCUCGCAUGUAUGGUUUCCGUGCUUUAGUGAAACAAUUUGGUCUCUUUGAUUUGGGUUUCAGUGGCCCGGCAUACACUUGGACAAAUAAAAGAUUUGCCUCUAAAUCCACUUUUGAAAGAUUGGACAGAUGCUUGGUAAAUGCUGAAUGGUGUGCUGCUUAUCCUAUUUCUAAUGUUUACAACAUGCCUAUUAUCCACAAUCUGAGUGAUCAUGCUGCAAUCUUGCUGUCCACAGAAGGUCGCACUUGUAAUAUAAAAUGCUCUUUUAAGUUCGAAAAUUGGUGGCUUAAAGGACAAGAUUUCCUAAACCAUGCAAGAUCAGUUUGGCUUUUUUCAAAAAUAAAUCCUUCUCAAGUAGAAUUAACUAUCCUGCAGGCUCUCUUAAGAUAUGGUGUAAGAAAAAGAAGCCACUGA